AGCAAUUAUUAUUAUUGUUUUUGUUAUUGGUGUUACUAUAUUAUUGUUGAUGAUAAUGACAAAAGAAAAAUGACCAGAUUUCAAGACAAACAGAUCUUUUUGAACCCAACCCAACUGCUUGGAUUCAAAUCCCUGCUUAGCCUUUUGUUAGCUGUUGACUUAGUACAAGUUAUGUAACCUCUCUCUCCCUUAGUUCCUCAUUGGUAACAUGGAGAUAAUCAUAGGAUUUAUCUCACAGGGUUCUUGUGAAGGUAAAAGACAUGAGACAAGUAAAGUACUUUAGCCCAGAAGCUCUACCAUGGUUACCAAGGCAGCUCUGCUCCUUGUGUCUCUCAUCCUCCUACCGAAGCCAGUGGUCAGCCAGUACGUGUUCUUCUCAUGACCAUGGUAGAAUCCAAGAGGACGAGCUCCACUGUGCAAGUUCACUUCAAGUUCUUGCUUGGUUCACUUCCAAUAACCUCCCAAACCAAGUUACAUGGAAAACCCAAAACCAAGGGGCAAAAAGUAUACUCUACUUUUUGUUGGAGAAACUGAAAAGUUACGUGGUUUUAGUGUGCAGAAUAUGAAUAGAAGAGAUGUGAAAAUAGG
rnacentral:lncRNA from 1 species